AAAAUACUUGUGCACACAGGACAGAGCAUGGCUUGAUCUUCAAAGUGACUCCUUUUCUGUAUUUACAGGAGGAUUCAAGAGGAUCCAUAAUUGGUAUGUAUCCUGGCCUCACUCUCUUCCUGUUGCAAAAUGUAGAUGAUGCCAAGGGUCAGAGAGUCUUCCUUCCUUUGGAGUGCAGAGUCUCAGUGAUUCCACUACCUCCUUGAGAAUGAGAAGUGAGGGGUUUGUGGUCUAAAUUGAUUUAAAAAAAUCUAUGGCCAUUCUGCAUAUUUCCUUGAAGCACCUGUGUGAGUUGAUCAAAGUGGUUAGGUCAAUGAGAGUUUUAUACAUGUGUCUCUGUGUGCAUUCAUGCAACAUGAUUCUGAGUGUGACUUUGUAUUUGUUUUUGCACAUUUGUUUGUUUCUCUAGAUAUAUACAUGCCAACAUGCCAAUGUCCACAUGUUUAAACAAAAAAAGCCAUCUCCAUUAGAUCAUGAUUUUGUAUAUGUGUAAAUAGAUCAAACUGUAAACUUUCCAUGUGUGCAGUUCACUCCACACCAAUCCCUCAAUUAACAUGCAAAACAUAUCCCAUCAAAACCCAGAAAAUUUUCACGACACUCUAUAAAGAAAAAGCUCCAUUUCAUUCCUCUCACUGCACCAGUAGCAACUUCAUUUAAUAGCAAACCUCACCUGUCAGUAGGUCCUAUAUUUAAUCAGUGCAUGUGAUUGUUCACAACACUUCACUCAUGAAAAUUUUUCACGUUCAUAUACAUUUUUUGUGAGAGGUGUCAGAAUUCAUCUUCCAAUCCCCAUUCUAGGCACAAGUUUCUGGACAGGGCCAAUCCUUAACAGUGACCCUCAGGUCCACCAAUGCACUAUGCUCACUUAUGGUGGACAUCUGAGACAGAGGAGAUGCACAGGCCAGAGAUUACUAUAGCUAAGGAAGGGCUUACUUUGUAUGUUCCAACUGACACUGAAAGCUAC
rnacentral:lncRNA from 1 species